rnacentral:rRNA from 1 species
AACGAACGCUGGCGGCAGGCCUAACACAUGCAAGUCGAGCGAGACCUUCGGGUCUAGCGGCGGACGGGUGAGUAACGCGUGGGAACGUGCCCUUUGCUUCGGAAUAGCCCCGGGAAACUGGGAGUAAUACCGAAUGUGCUCUACGGAGGAAAGAUUUAUCGGCAAAGGAUCGGCCCGCGUUGGAUUAGGUAGUUGGUGGGGUAAUGGCCUACCAAGCCGACGAUCCAUAGCUGGUUUGAGAGGAUGAUCAGCCAAACUGGGACUGAGACACGGCCCAGACUCCUACGGGAGGCAGCAGUGGGGAAUCUUAGACAAUGGGGGAAACCCUGAUCUAGCCAUGCCGCGUGAGCGAUGAAGGCCUUAGGGUUGUAAAGCUCUUUCACCGGGGAAGAUAAUGACGGUACCCGGAGAAGAAGCCCCGGCUAACUCCGUGCCAGCAGCCGCUGUAAGAC